rnacentral:rRNA from 1 species
GAUGAACGCUGGCGGCGUGCCUAAUACAUGCAAGUCGAGCGAACGGACGAGAAGCUUGCUUCUCUGAUGUUAGCGGCGGACGGGUGAGUAACACGUGGAUAACCUACCUAUAAGACUGGGAUAACUUCGGGAAACCGGAGCUAAUACCGGAUAAUAUUUUGAACCGCAUGGUUCAAAAGUGAAAGACGGUCUUGCUGUCACUUAUAGAUGGAUCCGCGCUGCAUUAGCUAGUUGGUAAGGUAACGGCUUACCAAGGCAACGAUGCAUAGCCGACCUGAGAGGGUGAUCGGCCACACUGGAACUGAGACACGGUCCAGACUCCUACGGGAGGCAGCAGUAGGGAAUCUUCCGCAAUGGGCGAAAGCCUGACGGAGCAACGCCGCGUGAGUGAUGAAGGUCUUCGGAUCGUAAAACUCUGUUAUUAGGGAAGAACAUAUGUGUAAGUAACUGUGCACAUCCUGACGGUACCUAAUCAGAAAGCCACGGCUAACUACGUA